rnacentral:misc_RNA from 1 species
UUUCCGUAGGUGAACCUGCGGAAGGAUCAUUAAUGAGUUGUCAUGGGGUUCGAUGCUGGCAGCCAAUUUUUGGAUGCAUGUGCUUGCCCUAACAAUCAUCUUCCAAACACCUGUGCACAUUUUUGAGGGAGUCUUGAGUUGGUUGCCGCUCUUGGGUGAUUUUCUCACAUUCCCUUAAAUCAUUAUACGCUACUAACAAUGUUGAACGUGCUCUGUGCCGCAAGGCUAUUAAUAUAAUACAACUUUUAACAACGGAUCUCUUGGCUCUC